rnacentral:rRNA from 1 species
GACGAACGCUGGCGGCGUGCCUAAUACAUGCAAGUAGAACGCUGAAGCGAGGAGUUUGCUCUUCUUGGAUGAGUUGCGAACGGGUGAGUAACGCGUAGGUAACCUGCCUUGUAGCGGGGGAUAACUAUUGGAAACGAUAGCUAAUACCGCAUAACAAUGGAUGACACAUGUCAUUUAUUUGAAAGGGGCAAUUGCUCCACUACAAGAUGGACCUGCGUUGUAUUAGCUAGUAGGUGAGGUAAUGGCCCACCUAGGCGACGAUACAUAGCCGACCUGAGAGGGUGAUCGGCCACACUGAGAAUGAGACAGGGCCCAGACACCUUCGGGGGGCAGCAGUAGGGAAUCUUCGGCAAUGGGGACAAGCCUGACCGAGCAACGCCACGUGAGUGAAGAAGGUUUUCAGAUCGUAAAGCUCUGUUGUAAGUAAAGAACGGAUGAGAGAGUGGGAAGUUCACACUAUGACGGUAGCUUACCAGGAAGGGACGGCUAACUGCGUG